rnacentral:misc_RNA from 1 species
ACACCUCAACUCCCAUGGCUCGCCAUGGUGAGCUUGGACUUUGGGGGUCUUGCCGGCCUGUGGGUCGGCUCCUCUCAAAUGAAUUAGCCUGCCAGUGUUUGGUGGCAUCACAGGUGUGAUAAAUAUCUACGCUUGCGAUUGCCCACCAGGUAACCUUCAGCAAUGGGGGUUCACUGGGGCUCAUAGACGUCUCUCCCUCAGCGAGGACAACUCUUUAAA